AGUGAAGGACAGACACUAAAUCACUGACAUACACACUGUAGACUGGACAGAGACACCUGGCUUUUACAAUGAUCACACCUGAUUACUGGGUUGUUUUUCUCAUCCUGUCAAUUAACUGGGCAGGUACUGAGGGUCAAACACUGACUGAGUCUGAACCAGCGAUUAAAAGGCCUGGAGAAUCCCACACACUGACCUGCACAUAUUCUGGGUUCAGUGGCCAUCACUGGAAUGCUUGGAUCAGACAGGCUGCUGGAAAAGGACUGGAGUGGGUCGCUACUAUCAGCAGUGACAGCGGCAGCAUCUACUACUCUCAGUCAGUCAAAGGCCGGUUCACCAUCUCCAGAGACAACAGCAGACAGCAGGUGUAUCUGCAGAUGAACAGUCUGAAGACUGAAGAUUCUGCUGUUUAUUAUUGUGCUCGACAGCCACAGUGACACAGGAAGCAGCAA